UACGGAGGAUCCAAGCGUUAUCCGGAAUCAUUGGGUUUAAAGGGUCCGUAGGCGGCCUUAUAAGUCAGUGGUGAAAUCUCCCCGCUCAACGGGGAAACUGCCAUUGAUACUGUAAGGCUUGAAUUAUUGGGAAGUAACUAGAAUAUGUAGUGUAGCGGUGAAAUGCUUAGAUAUUACAUGGAAUACCGAUUGCGAAGGCAGGUUACUACCAAUUGAUUGACGCUGAUGGACGAAAGCGUGGGGAGCGAACAGG
rnacentral:rRNA from 1 species